GAUGAACGCUAGCUACAGGCUUAACACAUGCAAGUCGAGGGGUAACAAGAGGAAAGCUUGCUUUCUUUGUUGACGACCGGCGCACGGGUGAGUAACGAGUAUCCAACCUGCCUAUAACUAGGGAAUAACCUUGCGAAAGUAAGACUAAUACCCUAUGAUUUCCUUCGAUGACAUCAGAUUAGGAAUAAAGAUUUAUCGGUUAUAGAUGGGGAUGCGUCUGAUUAGCUUGUUGGCGGGAUAACGGCCCACCAAGGCAACGAUCAGUAGGGGUUCUGAGAGGAAGGUCCCCCACAUUGGAACUGAGACACGGUCCAAACUCCUACGGGAGGCAGCAGUGAGGAAUAUUGGUCAAUGGGCGGAAGCCUGAACCAGCCAAGUAGCGUGCAGGAUGACGGCCCUAUGGGUUGUAAACUGCUUUUAUACAGGAAUAAAGUUAGCCACGUGUGGUUAUUUGUAGGUACUGUAUGAAUAAGGACCGGCUAAUUCCGUGCCAGCAGCCGCCGUAA
rnacentral:rRNA from 1 species